UGAGAUAUGGACAGGUGAGGCGCAGGUGAGCAGCAGCCGCUCACCUGCCAGCACCCACAGCGUGCCGUUCACCACCGGGGUGCGCGGGGCGUCUGUGGGACAGGUGAGACAGGUGAGAUAUGGACAGGUGAGCAGCAGCCGCUCACCUGCCAGCACCCACAGCGUGCCGUUCACCACCGGGGUGCGCGGGGCGUCU
rnacentral:lncRNA from 1 species